UAAGGAAUAUUGGUCAAUGGACGCAAGUCUGAACCAGCCAUGCCGCGUGAAGGAUGAAGGUCCUCUGGAUUGUAAACUUCUUUUAUCUGGGACGAAAACGGGAUUUUUAUCUCAAUUGACGGUACCAGAGGAAUAAGCACCGGCUAACUCCGUGCCAGCAGCCGCGGUAAUACGGAGGGUGCGAGCGUUAUCCGGAUUUACUGGGUUUAAAGGGUGCGUAGGUGGGCUUAUAAGUCAGUGGUGAAAUCUCCGAGCUUAACUUGGAAACUGCCGUUGAUACUAUAGGUCUUGAAUUAUCUGGAGGUAAGCGGAAUAUAUCAUGUAGCGGUGAAAUGCUUAGAUAUGACAUAGAACACCAAUUGCGAAGGCAGCUUACUACAUAUAAAUUGACGCUGGGGCACGAAAGCGUGGGGAUCAAACA
rnacentral:rRNA from 1 species